rnacentral:rRNA from 1 species
AACGAACGCUGGCGGCAGGCUUAACACAUGCAAGUCGAACGCGUGUAGCAAUACACGAGUGGCGCACGGGUGAGUAACACGUGGAUAUCUGCCUUUUGGUUCGGAAUAACCCUGGGAAACUAGGGCUAAUACCGGAUGGUUCCUACGGGAUAAAGAUUUAUCGCCAAAAGAUGAGUCCGCGUACGAUUAGCUAGUUGGUGAGGUAAUGGCUCACCAAGGCGACGAUCGUUAGCUGGUCUGAGAGGACGAGCAGCCACACUGGGACUGAGACACGGCCCAGACUCCUACGGGAGGCAGCAGUGGGGAAUAUUGGACAAUGGGGGCAACCCUGAUCCAGCCAUGCCGCGUGAGUGAUGAAGGCCUUCGGGUUGUAAAGCUCUUUUGGCGGGGACGAUGGUGACGGUACCCGCAGAAUAAGCCCCGGCUAACUUCGUGCCAGCAGCCGCCGUAAUAC